UACGUAGGGGGCAAGCGUUGUCCGGAUUUAUUGGGCGUAAAGAGCUCGUAGGCGGUUCAGCAAGUCGGGUGUGAAAAAUCUGGGCUCAACCCAGUGGAGCACCCGAUACUGCUGUGACUCGAGUCCGGUAGGGGAGUGUGGAAUUCCUGGUGUAGCGGUGAAAUGCGCAGAUAUCAGGAAGAACACCCGUGGCGAAGGCGGCUCUCUGGGACGGUACUGACGCUGAGACGCGAAAGCGUGGGGAGCGAACAGG
rnacentral:rRNA from 1 species